UACAGAGGUCUCAAGCGUUGUUCGGAUUCAUUGGGCGUAAAGGGUGCGUGGGCGGCGCGGUAAGUCGGGUGUGAAAUCUCGGAGCUUAACUCCGAAACUGCAUUCGAUACUGCCGUGCUUGAGGACUGGAGAGGAGACUGGAAUUUACGGUGUAGCGGUGAAAUGCGUAGAUAUCGUAAGGAAGACCAGUGGCGAAGGCGGGUCUCUGGACAGUUCCUGACACUGAGGCACGAAGGCCAGGGGAGCAAACGGG
rnacentral:rRNA from 1 species